UGCCUCUACCAGCCUCCACCUGCCUCUACCAGCCCCCACCUGCCCCCACCUGCCUCCACCUACUUCCACCUGCCCCCACCGGCCAGCUCAGUCGCUAAAAGAGCCCCUGGUGGUGUGUAACUGUGCAAGGUGGGUUCUCAAUGAGUCUCCAGGUAGAGAAAUCCUUCUUUGGCAGUUGCUGGUGGUCUGGGCCAUUUCUUUGAUAUUUUUGCAACGGUACCGAGUCUGAAAGAGCCUUCAUAAAAACGAAAUUGUCUUCUGUGCUGAAUGAAUUUCAAAAUGAACAUGCAAAACAGUAAAGGAAAGAGGCAAAUGAACAUUUCUCACUGGAAUGUGGUGCAGUGUGAAGAUGGUGAGACAUUCACUGUUAGAGAAGACCUACUUCUUGAACAAGUUUCGAAUGAAAUGUCUAAAGCGCUUCCCUUGCAUUUACAUUGCAUACAUUUUAGAAAAUGGAUUUUAUAUUAAAUUCGGUUUCAAAAACUA